GACGAACGCUGGCGGCGUGCCUAAUACAUGCAAGUAGAACGCUGAAGAGAGGAGCUUGCUCUUCUUGGAUGAGUUGCGAACGGGUGAGUAACGCGUAGGUAACCUGCCUUGUAGCGGGGGAUAACUAUUGGAAACGAUAGCUAAUACCGCAUAACAAUGGAUGACACAUGUCAUUUAUUUGAAAGGGGCAAUUGCUCCACUACAAGAUGGACCUGCGUUGUAUUAGCUAGUAGGUGAGGUAAUGGCUCACCUAGGCGACGAUACAUAGCCGACCUGAGAGGGUGAUCGGCCACACUGGGACUGAGACACGGCCCAGACUCCUACGGGAGGCAGCAGUAGGGAAUCUUCGGCAAUGGGGGCAACCCUGACCGAGCAACGCCGCGUGAGUGAAGAAGGUUUUCGGAUCGUAAAGCUCUGUUGUAAGUCAAGAACGGGUGUGAGAGUGGAGAGUUCACACUGUGACGGUAGCUUACCAGAAAGAGACGGCUAACUACGUG
rnacentral:rRNA from 1 species